AACAGCCUUAUUGAGAUAUCAUUAAUAUAAAAGAACUGCACAUAUUUAAUGUGAACAAUUUGAUGAGUUUGGACAUAUGUGGUACCAUGACCAUAGCCAAGCUGUUCAAUGGAGAGAACUCGCUGAACACUGUUGGAUUCAGUGGCAUGUAAGAUACCCGGGAAGUAGAGAAGACUGGUGGAAGUGAAUCAUUUGGAAUCCUAAAGAGCAGCCAGAUGUCCCUUCUUCAUACAGGGUCCGGAUAAUCUCUGCAGCUUUAACAACUUUUCAAGAGAAAUAAUUUGUGAAGCUCAGUGGUGUUCAAAACAGGAUGCUACAUUUUUGUGAUUGUAAGCUCUUUGAGGGCAGGAACAAUGUGCUGUUUAUUUCUGUGGACCCUGAAGCAUGUGACAAACGUAUGAUGGACAAGAAUCAACAAGGAGGGGUGAAGAGGGGGGAUCAGAGAAGUUCUGAGAGAGGAGGCAUC